rnacentral:rRNA from 1 species
CAGCAGCCGCGGUAAUACGUAGGUGGCAAGCGUUGUCCGGAAUUAUUGGGCGUAAAGGGCUCGCAGGCGGUUUCUUAAGUCUGAUGUGAAAGCCCCCGGCUCAACCGGGGAGGGUCAUUGGAAACUGGGAAACUUGAGUGCAGAAGAGGAGAGUGGAAUUCCACGUGUAGCGGUGAAAUGCGUAGAGAUGUGGAGGAACACCAGUGGCGAAGGCGACUCUCUGGUCUGUAACUGACACUGAGGAGCGAAAGCGUGAGGAGCGAACAGGAUUAGAUACCCCCGUAGUCCCUGUCUCUUAUAC